CACCAUACCUGCUCCCCAGCCUCUCCCCACGGCCAUCAGGAGGAAGCCGAGCAGAGCAGCAGGAGAGGCGCUGGUUCCGCCAGAUCGGUUGCCCGCGCGCUGUGGGGAUGGCCCGAUGGGGAAGAUGGAGAGACGACGAGUUUAGGAGGCGCAUCGCAGGGCCUUGACCCUCUCUUCUCUGUAGCACAGGGUGAGAGAAGUUUAUGCUUCUGCUCACAGUCCCAACAUCCUCAUGGCAGGUCCAAAUCCCUGAGGUUUAUGACCUUGAUUUUGCCAUAGAGGUAGUAGAAGCAGAUAUAGUGCAAGAAGCCGACGCACUCAUAAUGUACACCCAUCACCUGAGGAAAGAGAGAAGGUUUGUUGAACACUAGAUGGGAAUGUACUCGACAGGCGAAGUCCUUAAUGCUACCGUUGGGGUCCAUCAUCCAACACUCUGUUUGCAUGAGCUGGACAUUUUUUUUGGCCCAGUCUCAGAUGCGCUGGAGAGUGGAGACAGGGAACUUGGACCAUGCCCGCGUGCACCCCAAAGUUCCUGGACACUAACGAAACCUUCCAAAAGUGGGCGUUUGGAGGUUCGGCUCUGUUGCCCAUCCAUUCUCUGAUUUGGUUUGGUGUGUUGGAGAUGGAAUUGUUUGACAGUCUUCAGUUUGUCAGAACAAAGGGUACCAGGUAAUUAGAAGAUGCAUUAGCAAACUUUCUGAUCUGGAUCCUGAGACUAGAUAAACUGUGGAGAAGAUGAUGAUGAUAAGCUUUGUUCACAACCUUGUUGUUGGACUAAACGUCUUACAAUUUCUUCAGCCCUUAAACGAUAGCUAGCUCACUUUUUUUUCUUGUCAGAGCUUGACCAACGUCAGAACUAGAUGGGUCUGCCAACAAGUGAUGAAAUGCAAAAGCAAGACAUGCUCAAGAAAUUCAUGUCUUGGGUAAUCACGCUGAUUGCCUGAGGUGUUGAAGUGUCGUGCCUCUGUGUGCUAUGUUGUCGAGUACUUUCAUGUGCAGUACACAUGACAACUUGAAGAAAUACAUCCACCAAGAUGAUGCAUGAUACCCUCCCAGUCAAGCUUGAAGAUGGAACCGAGGGUUAUGCCAGUGGCUUCAUGCUUGGAACUGACAAGUGGGCCAGCAUCAUGAUGAACUGGUCAUGGUUUCACAACCACAAACAUCCAGGAAGGUGUCAUAUGUGCCUUCCACUUCAAGCGCAAGGCAAGGUCUCACGUCUCUCACUGUGCAUCGUCUCUAGGUGCACCACGGUCAACUACAGCCAUCGCCUAUACAUAUGAUCCGUGUAUCGACUCUGCCUCUCUUUGGGAGGUCGCCCGUCUUUUGGAGGAUGUUAGACUUUAAUUUCAACCGAUUGUCGUGCUCUGUGAUCAUUCCUCCACCUUCUAAGGUUGUCACCUAUUAGUGAAUACUAUGUUUCUGUAGUUUUAUUUCGUGUAUUAUAUUUUUUAAAGUUGGUACUCAUUUGCACUGCAUACGCACGUUGACAAAUGCAGCAACAAGAUUAGUGCGCACAGUGACGCAAAGGAGGCCCGCCUGGGGCGGGCCCCAGCCACUAGUUAUGAUAAGAGCUGGGCGUGGAUCAUCA